ACGAGUGUCACUGGGGUCCCCAAAGUGUCACCGGGGUCCUCUGGCUGUCCCCAAGGUGACAUCGGAGGUCCUCCAACCACCCCACGAGUGUCACUGGGGUCCUCUCGUUGUCCUCAAGGUGUCACCGGGGUCCCCCAAAGUGUCACCUGGGCCCUCCAUCCGUCCCCAAAGUGUCACCGAGGUGCCCCCAGGUGUCACCAGGGCACCUCCAACAGCUCCAGGACCUCCACUGAGGUCCUCCAAGGUCUCACCGGGGUCCCCCAAAGUGCCACCAGAUGGGCACAAGACUUGGUUGCGAUGGCUACAGAGGGAGCAGAUUGGACUAAAACGUCCCCAAAGUGCCA
rnacentral:lncRNA from 1 species